GAGCCACUUUAAACAGAUGGGUUGGGUCUGGGAGCCACUUUAAACACCAUAGUUGGGUCUGGGAGCCACUUUAAACAGAUGGGUUGGGUCUGGGAGCCACUGUAAACAGAUGGGUUGGGUCUGGGAGCCACUUUAAACACCAUAGUUGGGUCUGGGAGCCACUUUAAACAGAUGGGUUGGGUCUGGGAGCCACUGUAAACAGAUGGGUUGGGUCUGGGAGACACUGUAAACAGAUGGGUUGGGUCUGGGAGACACUUUAAACACCAUAGUUGGGUGAGCUGCUUUAUUGGUUAAUGGAUCAGAUGAAAAGGAAAGAUGGUACUUUAAACAACAUGUUGGAGGCAUUCAUGUGAAAGUCUAGUGCCGAGUUACCUGAAGAGGAUGUAGCAUUGAUUAGGGCUACGCACCUGCCUACCAGGUGACCUGCCUACCAGGUGACCUGCCUACCAGGUGACCUGCCUACCAGGUGACCUGCCUACCAGGUGACCUGCCUACCAGGUGACCUGCCUACCGGGUGACCUGCCUACCGGGUGACCUGCCUACCGGGUGACCUGCCUACCAGGUGACCUGCCUACCAGGUGACCUGCCUACCAGGUGACCUGCCUACCAGGUGACAGAGAAGGAGAUGGGGAGCAAAGUGAGGAUGCCAGCGCUUGGGAACCGCUCUCUGAACCUGUGUUCUGAUGGUGAAGAUGGGGUGAAAGUCCUCAUGUAGGUGGUUCUGUAGCUCAGUUGGUAGAGCAUGGCGCUUGUAACGCCAGGGUAGUGGGUUCGAUUCCCGGGACCACCCAUACGUAGAAUGUAUGCACACAUGACUGUAAGUCGCUUUGGAUAAAAGCGUCUGAUAAAUGGCAUAUAUAAAAAAUGUUGUCAUGUCUAUCUUAACACGUUGUUAAUGCUGUUGUGUUUUGGUGUUUAGUUUUACUUUGCAAGUGUUGUGCCGUCACUCUCUCAGGAACCAGAAGGAGAAAGUUGAAACAGGAGUCAACAGGUCCAGUGGACAAGGUAUUAUCUCUCAGGAACCAGAAGGAGAAAGUUGAAACAGGAGUCAACAGGUCCAGUGGACAAGGUAUUAUCUCUCAGGAACCAGAAGGAGAAAGUUGAAACAGGAGUCAACAGGUCCCGUGGACAAGGUAUUAUCUCUCAGGAACCAGAAGGAGAAAGUUGAAACAGGAGUCAACAGGUCCAGUGGACAAGGUAUUAUCUCUCAGGAACCAGAAGGAGAAAGUUGAAACAGGAGUCAACAGGUCCAGUGGACAAGGUAUUAUCUCUCAGGAACCAGAAGGAGAAAGUUGAAACAGGAGUCAACAGGUCCAGUGGACAAGGUAUUAUCUCUCAGGAACCAGAAGGAGAAAGUUGAAACAGGAGUCAACAGGUCCAGUGGACAAGGUAUUAUCUCUCAGGAACCAGAAGGAGAAAGUUGAAACAGGAGUCAACAGGUCCCGUGGACAAGGUAUUAUCUCUCAGGAACCAGAAGGAGAAAGUUGAAACAGGAGUCAACAGGUCCCGUGGACAAGUUAUUAUCAGUGUCCUGUAAUAAAUGGAAAUGGUGUGAUCAUCGUAUGGGGCGGCAGGUAGCCCAGUGGUUAAAGUGUUGGACAAGUAACCGAAAGGUUGCUGGAUCGAAUCCCCGAGCUGACAAGGUAAAAAUCUGUCGUUCUGCCCCUGAACAAGGCAGUUAACUCACUGUUCCGAGACCAGUCAUUGUAAAUAAGAAUUUGUUCUUAACUGACUUGCCUAGUUAAAAAGGUAAACUAAAAAAUAAAUAAUGACCAAAAAAAACAAACAGUUUAAUGACAAAAAAAAACUGUUUAGAAAUUUUUGCAAAUGUAUUAAAAACUUGUGGUGGGC